AUGCACAAUCAUUCCCGGGCUACUCUGAAUUCUGAUUAUCUCCCUGACGGUGAUAGCCCCUUUCCUCGUGCUAGUCUGUCGCCGUUUAGUGCACGGCUGAUGUGUGUCAAAAUAACGGCCACAUCC
rfam:Cucumis sativus cultivar 9930 chromosome 6, whole genome shotgun sequence.